CCCAGGCAGCCGAGAACACGAGUCAUAACCUGUUCAGUCGCACUUUCACAUCCUGGUUACUGUAUUAUUCACAGGAUCUUUAAAAUGACAAAUGUGAAAGAAUCAAUCCAUAGGUCGACACUCACAGCACAUGUUAACAAGGAUCGUUGGUGUUAAAGUGGGACAUUCCUGUGGCGGUGCUGUGAAAAGCCAUCGCCUCGUCCACGGAGCUGGUCACGGGGAACCUGGAGUCUAUCCCAGGGAGCAUCGGGCACAAGGCGGGGUACACCCUGGACGGGGUGCCAAUCCAUCACAGGGCACACGCACACACCCAUUCAUACUACGGACAUGCCAAUCAGCCUAACAUGCACGUCUUUGGACUGGGGGAGGAAACCAGAGUACCCGGAGGAGGGCCACUGCGGGAAUCGAACCCCCGACCCUAGAGGUGCGAGGCGAACGUGGUUACGGGUGGUUAAAUCGGACAGUGUUCUUGGUCCUGCAGUUUGAACGACUGCCCAAGACCAAGGAACAUUAAAUUCUUGAACGAACCUGUUAU
ensembl:lncRNA